AAGUGGAGCUCCUGGAAGGACGCUGGCCUCUCUUGCUGGCUCUCCUUUGGUCCACAGCGGAGAAGCACAUGGCCCCUGUUUGCUUUUGCCUGCAGUCUACAGAGCAAACUCUGAUAGUGACCAGGUUGUUCUUGCAGAGAACUUGUGAAAAUUCGGUGUGUUGAAUAGGUGAGUUCCAAUGGAGUGAGUAUGCUGCAGCCUUUGAAAAGUAGUGCCAAUCAAGAAAGAGCUGGCAGAAACAGACGUAUCAUACAGAUCAGCAUCUGGCUGCCUAGCUGGUGUUGCCAGCAGGAUUUUGGCUUCCGUAAUCAUGAGAUUCUCUUCAAAGACUGUGGGCUACUGUGGAGAGGAGGACCUGGGCAGUCACCAACAUCUACAGGCUGGAAAGAAAACUGUAACAACUUAAAAAUAUUCUGGACCUGCAAAGGAACCAGCUCCUGACUGCUGGGAAAAGAGCUGGAAGUUCUGAAAUAUCAAAGCAAAAUCUGUUCCUGCAAGAUUUCCAUCAGAGAGAGGAUUAACAGUCAACAAAUGAACAUCAGUGCAGUAUCUUUUGAAGUUUCUCCAUCUCUAUUGGUGAUGCUAUAGUGACUCUGUUGUUCCUGGUCUUCUCUUUCUAAAGUCUAUUUGCUUUUUUUUUUUUUUUUUUUUCUUUUGGGACAUUUAAUGUAAGUUACUGUAUUUGAAUUUCUGACUCAUCCUCUGUUGUCUGGUUCUGCGUACUGAAAAGUAUCAUUAUAUUCAAAGAGAACUGGUAACUGAAAUUAUAUAGGCUGUCAAUGUUCUCAUUCAGACUUCUCUUCAGCAUUAGAAUUCUGUGUGGUGUUGCAUGCUGUUAGUUGAAGAUUUAUUCUUGAACUUUUUAUUUUCACAAUUCCUUAUUAUCUAAUAACUAUACAGAAAUGUUAAUAGUCUUAUGACUAAACAGGUCAAUAUUCAUAUGAAUAUAUAUUUUUACUUGUUUAAUCUCAAUGAAAUAGCCUAGUAGAAAUUUAACACAUUUAAAACAUUCAAAUAAAAGCUUUUUUUACCCAAUCACAACAACAGCAACAACAAAAACAACAACAAAAACUCUAAUGCUCUUUUUUUGCACUGAAAAAAUCACCAACAUUAGAGUAACUUACAAUGAUAAAUCUCAAAAGACUUAUAUUCUUUAACUCAAGUUGAGACCAUUUGCUUAUUAUACAGGUUCACUGACCCAAAUCUUCUUCAUUCUACAUUAGAGAACUUGACCUGAGAUUUUCUUCUCCCUUCUCCCAGAUAUCACAUAAUGUUAUUUUUGCAUUUUCUGUUGCUGUAAAUAUUUAAUUAGCUACACAAAGUGAAACUAUUCCAAGAAGGAUGACAAAUUCACACUUAAAGUCAUUUGCAAUUGAAAGCUUUUGUAUGCACUGUAAAAUAAAGAUUCUGAACCCAUUUUUUCUUUUAUUUGAAGAAAGAUCUUUGACUUAUGAUUUCUUAACUAUUAAGAGGAAAUCUGUGCUUUGUCUAGCCUCUGCUCUGUUUUCUAGAAAAAAUCAGAAAAGUCCUAUUUGUGUCUAGUGUUUAUGGACAUUACCUGCCCAUUUCUUGCUCCUGGCUGAGUUCCAUACAGCCACUAGAAAUCUGAUUUAGCAGGCAAUAUAAGCAUGCUGAAUCACACUAAGCAGUUCAAAAUAAUGUGAUUAAUCUGUUUGUUUCAUUUACCGCAUUCAGAUUUAUGUAGAAACUGGUGAGAGAAGCCCAGGAUCUUAUCAUCUAACAAUUAAACUAAUCUUGCAGUAUAUUUUAUAAUGUGACUCUAGGAUAAACCCCUACCAAAAUUGGCUUU
ensembl:lncRNA